rnacentral:rRNA from 1 species
GUCUAUGGCCAUACCACCCUGAACACACCUGAUCUCGUCUGAUGUCAGAAGCUAAACAGGUUCGGGCCUGGUUAGUACUUGGAUGGGAGACAAAAAGACAAUAAAAAAGGUUGGGUAUGAUGUUCUAGACU